rnacentral:rRNA from 1 species
UACGGGGGGGGCAAGCGUUGUUCGGAAUUACUGGGCGUAAAGGGCCAGUAGGCGGCCAACUAGGUCGGACGUGAAAUCCCCAGGCUCAACCUGGGAACUGCGUCCGAUACUGGAUGGCUUGAAUUCGGGAGAGGGAUGCAGAAUUCCAGGUGUAGCGGUGAAAUGCGCAGAUAUCGGGAGGAACACCUAUGGCGAAGGCAGCUCUCUGGGACGGUACUGACGCUGAGACGCGAAAGCGUGGGGAGCGAACAGG